GCCCCCGUAGCUCAGUGGUCAGAGCACGCAGCGUGGAUCUUUCCGCAAGAGCAGGAUUGACAUACCCCCGUAUGCGGGCCAGCGGGAGCGGUUCGAAUCCGCUCGGGGGCA